rnacentral:rRNA from 1 species
CCUACGGGUGGCAGCAGUGGGGGAUAUUGCACAAUGGGGGAAACCCUGAUGCAGCGACGCCGCGUGUGGGAAGACGGUCCUCUGGAUUGUAAACCACUGUCCCCAGGGACGAAGAUGACGGUACCUGGGGAGGAAGCUCCGGCUAACUACGUGCCAGCAGCCGCGGUAAUAAGUAGGGAGCGAGCGUUGUCCGGAAUUACUGGGCGGAAAGGGAGCGUAGGCGGGACUGCAAGGUGGGUGGCAAAUCUACCGGCUCAACCGGUAGCCGCACUCAAAACUGCAGUUCUUGAGUGAAGUAGAGGCAGGCGGAAUUCCUAGUGUAGCGGUGAAAUGCGUAGAUAUUAGGAGGAACACCAGUGGCGAAGGCGGCCUGCUGGGCUUUUACUGACGCUGAGGCUCGAAAGUGUGGGGAGCAAACAGGAUUAGAUACCCGAGUAGUC